UGGAGAGUUGAAUGAGAUCAUCUCUAUGCUUUGGUGUACAUCCUGCCUACAGAGAGGAUAUAUGUCCGGUGUUCUCUCACCCCUGUGAUCAGUAGACGGAGAUAAUGAAAAAUGAAGUGACUCUUUCUGAGGACCAACAGAUGUAAGUGGAGGAAUAAGAAUUUGGAUCCAGGAUGGAAACAAAGCCUACACUUACAAGAUGUGCAGACGAGAAAGGUUUACCACAGCUGCUCGAGGAAGAUGGACCCAGAAUAAGAAAUUUUCUACUUGGGUUUGGGGAACCAGUAAAUUCAUUCAGGUCCUGGCCUUCUCCUGUGGUCCAUAUGUGCCACCAUCUAUGUUACCAGCAGUGGGGAUUAGAAUGCAAAGUGGUAUAUGAAGUGCCAGCUCUUUGAAAGGAAUGUGAGAUUAAGAACCUGGAGAAAAUAUUUUCUCCUCGUGUUGGGCAUCUAAAAGGAAGAGGCUCCCUCAUUCACAUGUGCUCCUCCUCGCACAAACGCUUGCACACAGUGAGUACUCACCUGCGGCCAGGUGGCCUCAAGCCAGCAGGCCCCUCACUGCAAACUGAAGAAGCUGGUAUUGUCCUCAGAGCCAUGGUGGUAACAAAGCUCCUGGCCUGCUUUAUCAUCCUGUCAAGGGCUCACAGAGAUCCCCUGCUUCCUGAAAACGAGCAGCAAGGACCACAAUUUCACAGGACAGUGGUGACGAUACUGAGUAGAAGACAAAGUCAUAACAUCACUGUACAUUUGAAUGGAGGGGAUUUAGAAACCAUCCACCCAGUGCAUGAAUUCCUCUCUACAACAUCAGAGAUGUUGGGGAAAGACCUUUACAUACGUACCCUCAUCUAAAUCCAUUUGAAGGAUCGUAAACCAUUUUAAGGAUAAAGUAAUGAAGAAACUUCCAUGGGGACCGAGAGCUACUUAGUUCUAUCUGAAACUAAAUACACUUCUCGUGGUGUCACCAGAAUCGGAUGUGUUUUCAGAUCUCCGGAUGAAGCUGCAUUUUUGACAAAGAAAAUGUUCUUAAUGGACACCAACAGGAGCAAAAUGACAGGCAUAGAAAUGACAACAUGGAAUCCCAAAAUUCUGAAGAGAACUAACAUCACAAAGCAACCAAGUAACCUGAAAUAUAAGAAGAGACAAGUCCCUCCAAAGAGAAAGGAAGUGAUCUCUGGCUCAGUUCUAAGAGAAUAUGUGGGGAAGAGAUGCUGAGCACCAUACCAAGAAACACUGAGUUGGAAGCACUCACAGUUUUCCAUUGUAAGAAAGCCAAGAAAACGGAGACAAAACUGCCUCUUAGGCACAAAGAAGGACAAGAGCAGAAGAUGGAGACGAGAUGUUAUGAAAACUCUCCAGCAAUUACAUAAGGAUGAACUGCUUGAUAAUUUCAACAUCAGAAAAGCCCCUAGAAGGCUUCUUCUGUUACGUGAAGAAUUGGUAUAAUGUUAACUUUCAAAAGCAGAAUUCCAAUUAAUAUGGACUAUGUCAAACAACAAAUAAAAUAUGCACAGAAGAGAGAUUGGAAAAAACACACACCAAACUGUCAACUAAGUUGUGGUACUAUGGGUGGUAACUUCCUCUUCUA